AUGCACGCUGGCGGCGUGCCUAAUACAUGCAAGUCGAGCGAACGGACGAGAAGCUUGCUUCUCUGAUGUUAGCGGCGGACGGGUGAGUAACACGUGGAUAACCUACCUAUAAGACUGGGAUAACUUCGGGAAACCGGAGCUAAUACCGGAUGAUAUUUUGAACCGCAUGGUUCAAAAGUGAAAGACGGUCUUGCUGUCACUUAUAGAUGGAUCCGCGCUGCAUUAGCUAGUUGGUAAGGUAACGGCUUACCAAGGCAACGAUGCAUAGCCGACCUGAGAGGGUGAUCGGCCACACUGGAACUGAGACACGGUCCAGACUCCUACGGGAGGCAGCAGUAGGGAAUCUUCCGCAAUGGGCGAAAGCCUGACGGAGCAACGCCGCGUGAGUGAUGAAGGUCUUCUGAUCGUAAAACUCUGUUAUUAGGGAAGAACAUAUGUGUAAGUAACUGUGCACAUCUUGACGGUACCUAAUCAGAAAGCCACGGCUAACUACGUG
rnacentral:rRNA from 1 species